AACGGAGGGUACUAGCGUUAUUCACCAUGACUGGACGUAAAGGGCACGCAGACUGGAUUGUAAGUUUUAAGCAAAAGAGCGAAGUUCAAAUUCUAAAAGCUUAUUUUACUGCAAUUACUUGAGAAUGAAGCGGAGUUGGGGAACCUUCGAUACAGCGCUGGGAUGUUAAGAUAUAAGACAGGGACCAUCGUUCGGCGAAAGCGCUGGCUUGGCUCAUUCUGACGUUAAAGUGCUAAAGCUAGGGUAUCGACCGGG
rnacentral:rRNA from 1 species